UACGUAGGGGGCAAGCGUUGUCCGGAAUUACUGGGCGUAAAGGGCGCGUAGGCGGCGCUUCAAGUCAGAUGUGAAAGCCCCGGGCUCAACCUGGGAAUAGCAUUUGAGACUGGAGUGCUUGGGUUCCGGAGAGGUGGGUGGAAUUCCCAGUGUAGAGGUGAAAUUCGUAGAUAUUCGGAGGAACACCAGUGGCGAAGGCGGCUCACUGGCUCGAUACUGACGCUGAGGUGCGAAAGCGUGGGGAGCAAACAGG
rnacentral:misc_RNA from 1 species